rnacentral:rRNA from 1 species
AUUGAACGCUAGCGGGAUGCUUUACACAUGCAAGUCGAACGAGUGGCGGACGGGUGAGUAAUAUAUCGGGACGUGCCCAAUAGAGGGGGAUAACUACUCGAAACAGUGGCUAAUACCGCAUACUAUUGGAUCAGCCGAUAUGGGAUUCGCUAGUUGGUGGGGUAAAGGCUCACCAAGGCAACGAUCCGUAGCUGGUUUGAGAGGAGGACCAGCCACACUGGGACUGAGACACGGCCCAGACUCCUACGGGAGGCAGCAGUGGGGAAUUUUGGACAAUGGGGGAAAGCCUGAUCCAGCCAUGCCGCGUGUAUGAGAAGGCCUUCGGGUUGUAAAGUACUUUCGGCAGAGAGGCGGUAUCUGCAGAAUAAGCACCGGCUAACUCCGUGCCAGCAGCCGCGGUAAUAC